CUGCAUCAUGCGCUCGGUCGCUCCUAACACAACAAAUACACGAGUAUGCCAGCCAUUGCUGAAGCUGAUCAUCACCAUUGCUGGUUCAACACGGUUUAUUUAACAAAAUCUCACAACAAAUAAAUCAUUCAUGCCAUCGAGGAGUUGCAUAUAGAAGACUGCUCUUGGCGAUUAUUAAAAGAUAAGACUUUGCGGACGGUACUUUGCAGUUUUUCUGGGGAUCGAAAGGAGGAAGAUGACAUUUG
rnacentral:sRNA from 1 species